AGUGAACGCUGGCGGCGUGCCUAAUACAUGCAAGUCGAACGAUGAAGCUCUAGCUUGCUAGAGUGGAUUAGUGGCGCGCGGGUGAGUAAUGCAUAGGUUAUGUGGCCUCUAGUCUAGGAUAGCCAUUGGAAACGAUGAUUAAUAAUGGAUACUCCCUACGGGGGAAAGUUUUUCGCUAAAGGAUCAGCCUAUGUCCUAUCAGCUUGUUGGUGAGGUAAUGGCUCACCAAGGCUAUGACGGGUAUCCGGCCUGAGAGGGUGAACGGACACACUGGAACUGAGACACGGUCCAGACUCCUACGGGAGGCAGCAGUAGGGAAUAUUGCUCAAUGGGGGAAACCCUGAAGCAGCAACGCCGCGUGGAGGAUGAAGGUUUUCGGAUUGUAAAAUCCUUUUCUAAGAGAAGAUUAUGACGGUAUCUUAGGAAUAAGCACCGGCUAACUCCGUGCCAGCAGCCGCCGUAA
rnacentral:rRNA from 1 species